rnacentral:rRNA from 1 species
AGCAGCCGCGGUAAUUCCAGCUCCAAUAGCGUAUAUUAAAGUUGUUGCAGUUAAAAAGCUCGUAGUUGAAUUUCGGAAUUUUUUUAUCGGUUGAAUCAACAGGUUCGUACUGAUUUUAAGAAUUUCUACCUUCUGGAGAACCUUAAUGUCAUUUAUUUGGUGUUUUGGGAAACCAGGACUGUUACCUUGAAAAAUUAGAGUGUUUAAAGCAGGCUUAUGUCUGAAUAUAUUAGCAUGGAAUAAUGAAAUAGGACGGCAUGGUUCUAUUUUGUUGGUUUCUAGGAUCACCGUAAUGAUUAAUAGGGAUAGUUGGGGGCAUUAGUAUUCAAUUGUCAGAGGUGAAAUUCUUGGAUUUAUUGAAGACUAACUUCUGCGAAAGCAUUUGCCAAGGAUGUUUUCAUUAAUCAAGAACGAAAGUUAGGGGAUCGAAGACGAUCAGAUACCGUCGUAGUCUUAACCAUAAACUAUGCCG